rnacentral:tRNA from 1 species
GGGAAUGUGGCUUAGUGUUAGAGCAUUUGCCUCAUAUGCAUGAAGCCCUGGGUUCAAUUCCCCAGUACCA